GCUCCGCGCAGCAUCGGCUGUAAAUCCACAGCCUGGAAGCUUCUUGCACCUUUGGAGCGGGACUGCCUCCGUCCUCACAGAACGGGGAGGUCCUCACGCAGGAAGGAGGAACUGAUGCUUAGGAAGGCCAAAAGUUAAUUACUGGAGACAACUCUAGACACUUUUCAGCCCAGAGACAGCACCAGAUGAAUCUCUGUGGCGCAGUGGUAAAGAAUCCGCCUACCAAUGCAGGGGACACGGGUUCGAGCCCUGCCCUGGGAAGAUUCCACAUGCUGCAGAGCAACUAAGCCCGUGCACCACAGCUAUUGAACCUGCGCUCUAGAGCCCGUGAGCCACAACUACUGAGCCCAUGUGCCGCAACUAUUGAAGCCCACGUGCCUGGGGCCCGUGCUCCACAACAAGAGAGGCCACUACAAUGAGGAGCCCACGCACCACAAUGAAGAGUAGCCCCCACUCGCAGCAACUAGAGAAAGCCCGUGUGCAGCAACAAGGACCCAA